UUACCAUUUAUUUAUACUUAAUAUGGAUUAUAAACACAAAUAAUAAUUUCGCUUCACAAUCGUUCGCGUUCGUGUUCACUUCCAUACAAUUCACUUCACUUUCACUUUUCACUAUUUUUUAACACGGACGUCCAUAAUUGUUGAUUAUCACUUUUCAGGUCACAACUGAAGCUGCAGGAUUCCACACGUCUAUCUCCUUCUCUGCUUCCGUCUGUCUCUCGGUCUCUGGGCAUUUGUUUUCUCUGCCUUUAGCCUUUAGGGGUAUUCAGUUUACCGACUGAUGAGAAAAAUGCGCCGUUACUGCUCCUAUGACCUUCACACAAGCGCCACCAGUUC
rnacentral:lncRNA from 1 species